UUUAAGUUUAGAAAUUUCAAAAGAAAUGCAAAUUCUCGAACUCAUUUGCCGUGCAAAAAAUCUACGCACACUCUUUCUUCAUUCUCGUGAAAGGGACUAUGAGUUUAACAUGCACCUAUCCGACUCAUGCCAUCAUUUUAGAUGUUUACGAACAUUAAUUUUGGAUUGCCCAUUUACGAUUUUUUCAGAUGCAGUGGAAAAUUUGAUACAUUUAAGGUGUCUCCAUAUGUAUGAGAAUGUUGAAAUAGAAGAAUUGCCUGAAAUCUUAUGUAAUCUUUGUAAUUUGCAAACUUUGAAUAUUGAUAAUGGUGAAUAUUUCAAGAAAUUACCACAGGGGAUGGGUAAACUAAUUAAUUUAAGACAGCUUAGAUUUAAUACAAAUGAUAGCUGGUUCAAACUAAAAUUUCCAAAUGGGAUUGGGAAAUUGACUUGUCUUAGGACAUUAAGUGAUUUCAACAGAGGUGGUAAGGAUGAUAAAGAAGGAUGUAAUCUUGGAGAAUUAAAACAUUUGAACUAACUUCGAGGGAGCUUUAAAAUGCAUGGGUUGGGAAAUGUGGUAGAUGUAGGGGAGGCCCAGAAUGCACAGUUGAAGAAGAAGAUACAUCUCCACGAUUUGGAACUAGAUUUUCUCGAUGAAGGUCAAUUCGAAGAGAAAGGGGAAGAGAGUAGAAGAAGAAUGAAGAGUGAUUUAGCAGUUUUGAAUGCCUUAGAACCACCAUCACACUUGAAAAAAUUAUCAAUUAAGUGGGUCAUGAGCACCGCAGUGAAUACCAAUUUGAAAAGUCUUGAUAUCAAUUGGUGCAUUCAGCUAGAGUGUUUGCCACCUUUGGGGAAGUUGCCGUUACUCAAAGAAUUAAAUAUACGGCGUGUAGAAAAUGUGAAAAAGUGGGGAGAUGAAUUUUUAGGAAUAGAAUCCGAAAACAAAAGCAAGAAAGACGACUGCCACAUCAUAAAUAUAUUCCCAAACCUGAGAGUUCUCGAAAUUAUUUAUUUGCCGAGCUGGGAAGAAUGGAUUGGCAUGGGUGGAAAGAGGUUAGAAGUGGAAGAAGAAAAAGAUAGUGGUUUGGUUUCAGAUCCAAUAAUAAAAAUAAUGCCACUGCUUGAAAGCCUGACAAUUCAGGGCUGCCACAAAUUAAAGUGUCUGCCAGACUUCUUGCGUACUACUCCAUUACAGAAAUUAUUCAUUCAUUACUGUCCAAUUCUCAAGCAACGUUAUGAAAGAGAGAUAGGAGAUUACUGGCCCAUUAUUUCUCACAUCCCAACAAUCGACAUACGGUAAAGUAACGAUCAACCCCAGUUUGAUUCAAACAAUCAGUCAGAGUAUGAGGAAGAGGGGGAUUCGUGAGGGGGAUUUGUGAAGCGAACGGAUACUUAUUAUGAGAUUGGGUAGUAAGAGCAAGCAAGGGGUCAUGAAUUUUAGCUACAAGUAGAGUUUUUUUGAAUGAUGAUACUGAUAGAGAAGGGGAAUAUAAAAUUGAAGCUUGGGGUGACCUUAAAUCUCCCUUUUGCAACAUUAUAUUUACUCUUACGUUAGAGCCAAAAGGGUCAAUUCCUCCCUAGCCUCACAGUGCAGUGAAAUCAAUUUAAAUGGUGGAAAAGCUUGAUGCAAAGAUGAUCUUGACAUCAUAACGACUACAUCCAGUGCCUGCAACACUGUUCAUGUUGAGCUGAAAAUUAUAUCAACUUUGGGAUUUGUGCUUUAAUGAUGAUAGUGUUUGACACAAAUUUGAAAUUUGAUGUCGAAAGAAUACAUGAUCCAAAUGGUGUUGACUAAAGAGGCCUUUGUGCUCACAUGAGGAGGAUAUGGAACUUUUAUGCUUGAAAUACAUUUUCUCUGACACCAAAGGUCUGUGUAAUUAAAGGAGGCGGAACCCAGGAAAUGGCUUCUAUGAUUUUUGAGGAAAUUAGGAGGGGUGGGCUUACGGUUGAGGUGGUUCAAUGAACUAUUCAUGCAGCCAAUGUUCAAUCAUAAAGAUUUAGAGUGGUUUCAGUGACAUCAAGUUAAUGGGCCACUACAGUGGAGUAGCAGAAGGGCAGGAAGGACUUCAGUGGUUUGUAAGGAAUUUUGGAGGACGACCCUCAAAGUUGUUGCGGCUGGACUUCCUAAAAUCAUUGACCAUUUCACAAUAAUUGGGACUCUGAUCAAAGACCAGUCCUCCGGUCUUUACAAAUAGCAUAAGACUAACAAAUGAACACAAACCACUUACAAUGGAUGAGAAAGGAAGAUCAAGAUCGAUCUCAAAGAGAAAACCCCAUCUAGGUGGUCACAGAUUUUGCUGUAGAAAGAAAUAAGCAUGAACCUGAAACUACAAGUCAUAAAGGAAAGUGGGGAUAGCAAGGCUGACCAGUUAUCAGACAAUGACUCUCAAAAUAUGAUCAACUUGGAAUAAGAUUAGGGAAAAGCAUUCGGUUGUUGAUUGGAGGGCUUUGGUUUGGUUUUUGUUUCGGCUGCUAUUUGCAAGCAAUGCCUUCAUUUCUUGUCUAACUGUCACGGAUAAACUUCCCACUCCUGACAUGGCUGGUAAAUGAGGAUACAAUUCUGAUCUCAUUUGUGUGUUCUGUAGGAGAUAUCUAGAGUCCAGGCAAGCAGUUGAAUGACUGGAAUUCUCUCUUAUGCUGAAAUAUUCAUUCCUUGAAAGUCAUAACUAUUGUUUGCAAGUUAGCUUGGGCUGCCUUCAUUUUUCAGAUAUGACUUCAAGGAAAUGCUAGAGUUUGCAAGGUGUGCAAAAUGGUAAUUUUUGGCUGAUGGGGUAUAUCAGUUUCUGUUUUAGAGUAAAAGUGUUGUUGUUUGUGUGUUUUGCAGCAGUUUGCUGUUUGUGUUGCGUUCUUGUUUAGAGUAGCCAUGUUGGUUGUUUCUAUGUUCUGUAGUAAUUUGUUGUUUGUGUUGUGUCAAGGUUGAACUAUUUUGUGAUAUCUUUGCUUGAUUUGUCUUGAAUUUAUCUCAUUCUUAAAAAAAAAAAAAUUGUUUGUUCUACUAGUCGCCCAAAAAAAUUUAUUCUGACUAUUCUUUGGAUUGCUUAGAUGAUAUGUGUCAUCCAUCCCUUCUUUAAUGGUUAUAAUUUUAAAUUCCUUUUUGCAUGUCAUAUCUCCUUGAAAUAGAGAUUUGACUUUUAAGAUUGAUAUUGAUUUUGGAGCAUUUUAAUUGUUGUCCAUUGCAAUUUAAGUAUUUUAUAAAUAUGCCAUCAUUAAACUUCUUUCUUUGAAGUUCUAAAUUUCUAAUUGAUGCUUGUAACCUUGAAUAAUCCCUGUGUGGAAGAUGUUGGGCUUCUAAUCCCUUACCUUGCAAAUCUGCCUCCAAGAAAUAAUGCGUGUGCAAAGCCCCACUCAAACUUUAUGCAAGAUUGAUAGAAAGAGCCCAUAGAAACUGAUAAUGGCAAACAGAAUGGCGAGGCCAAUGAAGUUAAAGAUCAGAUCAUCAGGGCUUCUUUAUUUCUCCCAGCUAGAAGAGAUAAUUCACACAUUACAAGGAAUUUUGGAAAGAACUUGGGGAUAUGAACAAAGAUUCUAAAUUGCCAAUGAAGUUAGUCUUUCCUUUUUGCAUAUUGAUAUAGCCAUUGACUAAAUCUUAUCUAAUUGUCCUUCAAGAAUCAAUUUGAUGCUUUAUUUUGUUCUAUAUUUGGCACGUAAUUGUUUAAAAUUUCUUUUGUCUUUCACGGCAUUUAUAUCUUAAUUGUGGUUGUCAUUCUCAACUCAAAUCACAGAUGAGGAUCAUUAAGUUAGUCGCACAAAGUUAUAAGCAUGGAAAAUGGUGUUGUGCACCAUGGUGGUGAGUUUUAUAGUGAUGAUGACUUGCAAAGUUGGGUUUUAGUUUCAUCAUUUGAAGCCUUAAUGUUUCCAUUUCCUCCUCAUCAUCAGGCAAACAUUAAAGUUCAUUGCCCAUUGUGUUUUCUGAGAUUGACCUCAGGCAACCACUUAUUUGCAAAGUACCUGAAAUUGAACCACAUGAAACUUUGGGGUUUUGGUACUGCAUAUCUCAUCAAACACAGUUAAAACCUAUUGGAGAAGCACAGUUUUAUAUUGGUGAAAAUUGUUAAGCAAGGAUGCACCUCAGAUAGCCAUGUCUUACAUUCUGGUGCAAGAUAUAUUUGAUAAGCUCCAUUGGUUGCAAAGCUUCAUAUGUUAGAAUAACAAAGCUCCCUACCUAUCUGCCCUACAUCAUUUACAUCGUCUAUAAAUUUUUAUGCCAAGUUCAUAGAUGCAACUAUGCUGAGCGAUGAGGAUCCAUUCAGCAUUGUGAAUGUAGCUUGUCAUGGAUGUCAAGAUGAAAUGAGGUCAACAAGUGAUACACAUGAAUUGGAAACUAGGCAAUUGAUGUUAUGCAUAUCUGUGAGAGAAGUGCUAGUGUGUUAAUAAUGUUCCAUCAGCCAGUGUGGUAUAUGAAUGAUUUGGUUCAUCAUUCCUGGGUGAUUCUCCAAGCAAUUUGGGAGGCACUUAGCUAUCUGAUGACACGGGGCAUUCAAUCAGCCAUUAUUCUUUCUAGUACUUGAGCUGUUUGCACGUUAUUAGAGUCGGGUCAUUGUAAGGCUGAGGCAAGCAAGGACUUGUGCGCUGUGACAAAGGAUCUUGGCAGUUUACACCUCCCAUUCAUAGUUCUCACAUUUUUUUCUGGUUCAUCACCGAGCUUUGAAACUGGUCAGCUGCCUAUUGUGAUGCCACAUCUUUUAUACUCAUGGCCCGAAGUGGUAAAGCAGCACAUCAAAAUAUAUAAAGGAAAAAUCUAAUUAGGGACUGUACAUUGUAUUUACAUUUUUUAUGCUAUUCUCAUACUAUUUUCAAAGUAUUUUUCAUGGGUAUCAUUUUCAUAACUAAGAUACAUUAUAUUUAUACAAAAUUUAUCGCAACACGAAGAGUGAUAUUCAUCUACA